AAGUUUCGUAGCUUAAUCGAAGUCACCUGAAGGACGGCUUUCCUCAGCAACGGCAAGGCCCGCACUCCUCUCAUAUCGUGAUGUUUAACAAGUUUCGCGGCUCAAGCAAGAGGCACCUGUCACUGAAGGACUGCUUUUCUCAGCAACGACGUGAACAGCAUUACUCGAAUUUCCUGGUUCAGCUGAUCUACCCGUCUUCGUACAAGCAGAGUUGGCAGAGGAGCUCAUAAAAAUCUACAUCCUUCGGGACAAUGAUGGGGCAGUCAGCGAUGUAGGAGUUGUGAUUGACUGCAUCACUGUCCUCCGCAAUCUUGGGAAUCUCAGCAGAGCCUGCUGCUAUCUUUUGGGA